rnacentral:lncRNA from 1 species
CCGCCCCCACUCCAGCCCCGGGAAGCCCCGAUUGCGGGCGGAGCGCGAGCCACCGCGGCGGGUGGAGCCUGCGGCCGCCGGAUCCCAGGGCCAAUCGCGCGGUGGCAGGGGAGGAGCCCCGGAGGGGGAAAAAGAAAGUGCGGCGGAAAGUAAGAGGCGAGUCGAGGAAGGCUGCUGGGAUCUGGGUCUCCUGGGCUCGGCUUGGACCAGGGCGCGGAAAGAGGCAGUGGCCGGCCACCCUGCACCCAUCCCGUCAUUGUCGCCGAGUCUGCUCGGCUGGCCCAGGAAGACCACUGGUUGUGAAAUUGUGAGCCAAGGGGCCACGGGAAACAUCAGACACUUUGCAGUGCAGAUUCCUGGUUAGCGACGGGCUGAGAAGGUCUGUUUUCUAUCUGUGUCUUUGCCUUGUGGUG